GACGAACGCUGGCGGCGUGCUUAACACAUGCAAGUCGAACGAAGAGCGAUGGAGGCUUGCUUCUAUCAAUCUUAGUGGCGAACGGGUGAGUAACGCGUAAUCAACCUGCCCUUCAGAGGGGGACAACAGUUGGAAACGACUGCUAAUACCGCAUACGAUCUAAUCUCGGCAUCGAGGAUAGAUGAAAGGUGGCCCCUACAUGUAAGCUAUCACUGAAGGAGGGGAUUGCGUCUGAUUAGCUAGUUGGAGGGGUAACGGCCCACCAAGGCGAUGAUCAGUAGCCGGUCUGAGAGGAUGAACGGCCACAUUGGGACUGAGACACGGCCCAGACUCCUACGGGAGGCAGCAGUGGGGAAUCUUCCGCAAUGGACGAAAGUCUGACGGAGCAACGCCGCGUGAGUGAUGACGGCCUUCGGGUUGUAAAGCUCUGUUAAUCGGGACGAAAGGCCUUCUUGCGAAUAGUGAGAAGGAUUGACGGUACCGGAAUAGAAAGCCACGGCUAACUACGUG
rnacentral:rRNA from 1 species